CCUACGGGCGGCAGCAGUGAGGAAUAUUGGUCAAUGGACGAGAGUCUGAACCAGCCAAGUAGCGUGAAGGAUGACUGCCCUCUGGGCUGUAAACUUCUUUUAUAAAGGAAUAAAACGAGGCACGUAUGCCUUUUUGCAUGUACUUUAUGUAUCAGGAUCGGCUAACUCCGUGCCAGCAGCCGCGGUAAUACGGAGGGUCCGAGCGUUAUCCGGAUUGAUUGGGUUUAAAGGGAGCGUAGAUGGGUUGUUAAGUCAGUUGUGAAAGUUUGCGGCUCAACCGUAAUAUUGCAUUUGAUACUGGCAGACUUGAGUACAGAUGAGGUAGGCGGAAUUCGUGGUGUAGCGGUGAAAUGCGUAGAUAUAACGAAGAACCCCGAUGGCGAAGGCAGCUUACUAAUCUGUGACUGACACUGAUGCUCGAAAGUGUGGGUAGCAAACAGGAUUAGAUACCCGAGUAGUC
rnacentral:rRNA from 1 species